rnacentral:rRNA from 1 species
AACGAACGCUGGCGGCGUGGAUAAGACAUGCAAGUCGAACGCUGGCCAUCGGGUAGCAAUAUUCGGUGGUCGGAGUGGCGCAAGGGUGCGUAACACGUGGGUAAUUUGCCGCGAAGCCUGGGAUAACCCCGAGAAAUCGGGGCUAAUGCCGGAUGUGACUGCUGGGAGGCAUCUCUCGGCAUUCGAAGUUGGGGACCGCAAGGCCUGACACUUCGCGAUAAGCCCGCGGCCUAUCAGCUAGUUGGCGGGGUAACGGCCCACCAAGGCUAAGACGGGUAGCUGGUCUGAGAGGACGACCAGCCACACUGGAACUGAGACACGGUCCAGACACCUACGGGUGGCAGCAGUCGAGUAAUUUUUCACAAUGGGGAAACCCUGAUGGAGCGACGCCGCGUGGGGGAUGAAUGGC